rnacentral:rRNA from 1 species
AUUGAACGCUGGCGGCAGGCUUAACACAUGCAAGUCGAACGAGUGGCGGACGGGUGAGUAAUAUUUGGGAAUCUGGCUUAUAGAGGGGGAUAACUACGGGAAACUGUAGCUAAUACCGCGUAUCAUAGGAUGAGCCCAUGUGUGAUUAGGUAGUUGGUGAGGUAAAGGCUCACCAAGCCGACGAUCCGUAGCUGGUCUGAGAGGAUGACCAGACACACUGGGACUGAGACACGGCCCAGAAUCCUACGGGAGGCAGCAGUGGGGAAUAUUGCGCAAUGGGGGCAACCUGACGCAGCCAUGCCGCGUGUAUGAAGAAGGCCUUCGGGUUGUAAAGUUCUUUCGGUAGCGAGGCGUUAACUACAGAAGAAGCACCGGCUAACUACGUGCCAGCCGCCGCGGUAAUUC